AUUGAACGCUGGCGGCAUGCUUUACACAUGCAAGUCGAACGGUAACAGGUUAAGCUGACGAGUGGCGAACGGGUGAGUAAUGCAUCGGAACGUGCCCGAUCGUGGGGGAUAACGCAGCGAAAGCUGCGCUAAUACCGCAUACGAUCUGAGGAUGAAAGCGGGGGACCGUAAGGCCUCGCGCGAUCGGAGCGGCCGAUGUCGGAUUAGGUAGCUGGUGGGGUAAAGGCUCACCAAGCCAACGAUCUGUAGCUGGUCUGAGAGGACGACCAGCCACACUGGGACUGAGACACGGCCCAGACUCCUACGGGAGGCAGCAGUGGGGAAUUUUGGACAAUGGGCGAAAGCCUGAUCCAGCAAUGCCGCGUGCAGGAAGAAGGCCUUCGGGUUGUAAACUGCUUUUGUACGGAGCGAAAAGGUCCCCUCUAAUACAGGGGGCUCAUGACGGUACCGUAAGAAUAAGCACCGGCUAACUACGUGCCAGCCGCCGCCGUAA
rnacentral:rRNA from 1 species